rnacentral:sRNA from 1 species
UUAAAAAGAAGGCAUGCUAAAGGCGCAACGUCCUAUUGCAACGCAUGCUCCU